UUUUAGGCCAACAUUGAGGUGUGGUUACUAUUUUAUGUAUGGUUUUGGGUAUGACGAGGUUAAUGAUGAUUAUAAGGUAGUGGGUGUUUUCUGUAUUUUUGGUGUUGGUAGUUCGUAUGAUGUUGAGGUGAAGGUAUAUGGUUUAAAGAGUGAUUCUUGGAGAAAUAUUGAUGAUUAUCACGGUGGGGUGUUGUUGAAUGAUUCGGGUAAGUUUGUGAAGGGGAAGCUUCAUUGGGCUACUUCUGCUCGUUUUGGUGGGUAUAAUGGCUGGGAUAUCGUUUCUAUUGAUUUGAAGGAUGAGAAAUGGGGAAAGAUAGAGCAGCCCUGCUAUGAAAAAGGAAAUUUUGAUUUUGUGUUGGGAGUGUUGGAAGAUAAUCUUUCUGUGCUUUGUAAUUAUAACAGAACUCGGGCAGAUGUGUGGAUCAUGAAGGAUUACGGGGUUAAAGAUUCUUGGGAAAAAAUGUAUACCAUCAGUUGUCCUAAUGACCCUGGGAAGUAUAUGUUCUCUCCACCCCUUUGCAUGUCAAAAAAAGGUGAAAUUUUACUCGUGUUUGGAUCAAUUUUCAUGAUAUACAAUCCCAGUGAUGAUUCGAUCAGAUAUCCGG
rnacentral:misc_RNA from 1 species